GAUGAACGCUGGCGGCGUGCUUAACACAUGCAAGUCGAACGGAAAGGCCCAAGCUUGCUUGGGUCCUCGAGUGGCGAGCGGGUGAGUAACACGUGGGUGAUCUGCCCUGCACUUCGGGAUAAGCCUGGGAAACUGGGUCUAAUACCGGAUAGGACCACAUUUUGGAUGGUGUGGUGGAAAGUUUUUCGGUGUGGGAUGAGCUCGCGGCCUAUCAGCUUGUUGGUGGGGUAAUGGCCUACCAAGGCGUCGACGGGUAGCCGGCCUGAGAGGGUGUACGGCCACAUUGGGACUGAGAUACGGCCCAGACUCCUACGGGAGGCAGCAGUGGGGAAUAUUGCACAAUGGGCGCAAGCCUGAUGCAGCGACGCCGCGUGGGGGAUGACGGCCUUCGGGUUGUAAACUCCUUUCGCUAGGGACGAAGCGCAAGUGACGGUACCUGGAGAAGAAGCACCGGCUAACUACGUG
rnacentral:rRNA from 1 species